GAUGAACGCUAGCGGCAGGCCUAAUACAUGCAAGUCGAACGGAUCUGGAGACUUCGGUUUCCAGGUUAGUGGCGCACGGGUGCGUAACGCGUAUGCAACCUACCUUUUAUUGGGGGAUAGCCCGUCGAAAGACGGAUUAAUACCGCAUAAGAUCACAAUCUGGCAUCAGGAAGUGAUUAAAGCUGAGGCGAUAAAAGAUGGGCAUGCGUGACAUUAGCUAGUUGGUUGAGGUAAUGGCUCACCAAGGCGACGAUGUCUAGGGGUUCUGAGAGGAUGAUCCCCCACACUGGUACUGAGAUACGGACCAGACUCCUACGGGAGGCAGCAGUAGGGAAUAUUGGGCAAUGGACGCAAGUCUGACCCAGCCAUGCCGCGUGCAGGAUGAAGGCCUUCUGGGUUAUAAACUGCUUUUAUCUAGGAAGAAAAAACCCCUGCGGGGGGAACUGACGGUACUAGAGGAAUAAGCACCGGCUAACUCCGUGCCAGCCGCCGCCGUAAUAC
rnacentral:rRNA from 1 species